rnacentral:rRNA from 1 species
UAGCGCGGUGGUCCCACCUGACCCCAUGCCGAACUCAGAAGUGAAACGCCGUAGCGCCGAUGGYWGWGUGGGCUGA